GCUGGUGUGGCUCAAUGGUUAGAGCGUCGGCCUGUGCAGACUGGAGGGUCCCGGGUUCGAAUCCCGGUCAAGGGCU
rnacentral:tRNA from 1 species